GACGAACGCUGGCGGCGUGCCUAAUACAUGCAAGUAGAACGCUGAAGAGAGGAGCUUGCUCUUCUUGGAUGAGUUGCGAACGGGUGAGUAACGCGUAGGUAACCUGCCUGGUAGCGGGGGAUAUCUAUUGGAAACGAUAGCUAAUACCGCAUAAAAUUGAUUAUUGCAUGAUAAUUAAUUGAAAGAUGCAACUGCAUCACUACCAGAUGGACCUGCGUUGUAUUAGCUAGUUGGUGAGGUAACGGCUCACCAAGGCGACGAUACAUAGCCGACCUGAGAGGGUGAUCGGCCACACUGGGACUGAGACACGGCCCAGACUCCUACGGGAGGCAGCAGUAGGGAAUCUUCGGCAAUGGGGGGAACCCUGACCGAGCAACGCCGCGUGAGUGAAGAAGGUUUUCGGAUCGUAAAGCUCUGUUGUAAGAGAAGAACGGGUGUGAGAGUGGAAAGUUCACACUGUGACGGUAUCUUACCAGAAAGGGACGGCUAACUACGUG
rnacentral:rRNA from 1 species